rnacentral:lncRNA from 1 species
UAAGUUGCUUAACUUUUCCAUCUUUGCUUUCCAGUAUUCCUGAUCUGGCCCAGCAAGGAUUGUAUGGAAUGAAAUAAUACCUGGUUGUCUGCAAAGACGGUACUUAUGCAUGAAGAGACUUGCCAGUGAAAGAAAGCCUUGCACUUGCCAGAACGCUUUCAGAUCAAGUCAUCUUUGCCAGCCAGAGCAGUCUCUUCUUGUCUGCUUCCAAGAGGCAUGAGCUUAAACAACUGGUCUCAGAGUGGGGUGUAUCUACAGUCUUAACCACGAAGAGAGGUGAUUAUUCCUCCCUAGUAAUUCAGUUUCCCAUAAGGAAAUUAUCACAUACACAGAGGCAUACACCUUCUGCUAUUCUGUUGACGUGCGCUGCU